rnacentral:rRNA from 1 species
UACGAAGGGGGCUAGCGUUGCUCGGAAUUACUGGGCGUAAAGCGCACGUAGGCGGAUUGUUAAGUCGGGGGUGAAAUCCUGGAGCUCAACUCCAGAACUGCCUUCGAUACUGGCGAUCUCGAGUUCGGGAGAGGUGAGUGGAACUGCGAGUGUAGAGGUGAAAUUCGUAGAUAUUCGCAAGAACACCAAUUGCGAAGGCAGCUCACUACACAGUUAUUGACGCUGAGGCACGAAAGCGUGGGGAUCAAACAGG